rnacentral:rRNA from 1 species
CCUACGGGUGGCAGCAGUGGGGGAUAUUGCACAAUGGGGGAAACCCUGAUGCAGCGACGCCGCGUGGGUGAAGAAGUAUUUCGGUAUGUAAAGCCCUAUCAGCAGGGAAGAAAGAAGACGGUACCUGACUAAGAAGCCCCGGCUAACUACGUGCCAGCAGCCGCGGUAAUACGUAGGGGGCGAGCGUUAUCCGGAUUCACUGGGCGUAAAGGGAGCGUAGACGGCCGUGCAAGCCAGGAGUGAAAGCCCGGGGCCCAACCCCGGGACUGCUCUUGGAACUGUGCGGCUGGAGUGCGGGAGGGGCAGGCGGAAUUCCUGGUGUAGCGGUGAAAUGCGUAGAUAUCAGGAGGAACACCGGCGGCGAAGGCGGCCUGCUGGACCGCGACUGACGUUGAGGCUCGAAAGCGUGGGGAGCGAACAGGAUUAGAUACCCUUGUAGUC